rnacentral:rRNA from 1 species
UACAGAGGCCUCAAGCGUUGUUCGGAAUCACUGGGCUUAAAGGGCGCGUAGGCGGGUGUGCAAGUCUGCGGUGAAAGCCUCCAGCUUAACUGGAGAAGUGCCGUGGAUACUGCUCAUCUUGAGGAGGGUAGGGGCAUCUGGAACGGUCGGUGGAGCGGUGAAAUGCGUUGAUAUCGACCGGAACUCCGGUGGCGAAGGCGAGGUGCUGGACCCUUUCUGACGCUGAGGCGCGAAAGCCAGGGGAGCAAAGCGGG